rnacentral:lncRNA from 1 species
AUGUACCUUAAACAAUGCAAACGAUUUAUAUGGCUGAUUUUUACGGAGUGGGGAAAAGAAAAGAGAUGGGGGGAGGACGACUCCAUAACCUUCCCAUUAUCUCACUGUUCUGGAGAAGACUCAGACCCAGCCUCUCUUCAUCACUGCUUAGAACCACCAGAGCUAUUUAUUCUGACAACUUUUCAAGCAAAGACACAGGCUCUCCUUGCUCGCUUGGUGGAUGGCGAGGUGCCCAUUCUUUGCCCCUUUUCUCUUCUUUCUAAGGAAGAGCUUAGAAAGACCGAGGCCGGGAUUCACAGCGACUCCACUCCCCCCGCGGAGCACGCAGCCGGGAGCGGCCCCAGCUGCCGCCUUUCCCCGGGUCUGUCCCGGAGAGGGGUAGGAUGACUUACAGAUUUGUUUUAACGGUGUGUUGGAGAGCUGUGUGGCCUCCUAAUUACGGCAGAACACAGAACCAUUAGCCCUUGAAGUUUCAGGCGCGACUUCGGGAAGAGCCGCGACCCAGCUCCCCGCGUGCAGAAGACAUUGGGGAGGGGGCGCUGACGAGGGAGGGGGAGCUCCUUGGAACAGAACUCCUCGCUAGAGCUGACUGUUUCAGCUAAUCUAAACUGGAGAAGGCAAAUAUACAACAGAGCCGAGGCGAUCAAAGCUGGCCCCUGCCAGCUCCCUCCUCCCGCCCUCUUUCCCGCCCCAAAGUCUGUUUGUAGUUGUCUCCUGUGCUGCAGACACUCGUCCGUCUUCUCACGACAAGGAAAUUCCUGCCAGUUUUUUCCAGAGCCUGCAAGGAGAGGACAGACGCACUUCACACUUCCUACAGGAGAAUUCCCUUUGUCUUAUCUCCCCUCCCCCAGUCUUCCCUCGGCUCUGAAAUGGGGGGAGAGGCAGCCCGCGGAAAGACCCUGGGCGCUGAAGGGGCGAUCGUAAUCGAACCCCACUUUCAACUCUGCCGCAGUAGGCCCCCUCCCCCCUUUCUCCUCUUGUUUUCCCCAUCUUUCUCCUCCCUUUCUUUCUCCUUCCCUUCUUCCAAUCCCCUAAAUGCUCUUACCAUUGAAGUGUUCUUGAGGGCUCUCGCGCCCAGAGCCUGGGCAGGCGCCGUUUAUUUCCCGGCCUUAGUGGUUUGGCGGGAAAGGGCUCCGUCCUGGCUUGUCCAUGGGUGUUUGGGACAAAUCCUUUUGUCUGUGUCUAUAUGUGGAAUGGGAAGCAUUAUGGGUUGAUAAUGGAGCACAGAAGGAAGAGGGAAAAAACAGAGAAACUACAGGCACUGGGAGAGUCGCCACCUGUGUCUUUUGCAGCCAACCUGCGAUGGGAGCCCAGGAUAUGGAAACUUUUCUAGAUGGCUCAUGACCUCACACACACACACCCCUCUCCCCCCAGCUGCCCUCAUCUGUUCUUUAUUAUCCUUACUCUUACUCUUCUGAGUUCUUCCCUGAGUUUUCUUCCAUUCCCCACCCCCCGCCGCCCCUAGGACUUCCCAGGGCUCUAUAGUUCAGUGAGCGACUGAGAAAGAAGGUCGGUUAAGAGUCUCACCAAGCAUCCAGGCACUCCUGUGACAUCUCCCAGAACCGGCCUGUCCUGGGCCGACACUUUCGUGCGUUCUGAAUUUCAGCCAAUAGAGCCCUCUCUGGUCACAUCCAUCCCCAUUGCGAGGCCAGACUGCCACCUCCAUCCUGCCUCUGAAGUACUCGGAGCGGCAGGGGAGGCUCCGCACUCAUCAGACACGUGCGUCUCCUCCUGCCCCUCCCCCUCCCCCGCGGCCACACGCGGAAUGCACAUUGAUGACACUGACACACUCACUCGGGCACGCGCCAGCGGCGUCGAUCCUCCUUCCCUGCCAGGCGGCAGCGGGCGAGACGGCCUUGAGGCAGGUGACAGCCUCGGGGAGAGAGACUCCGCGCUCCAGAUGCCACCCUGGGAGUGGGGGUGUUCGGGUCCCCCAACGCCAGCGGCGGGGCUCCCCGGCCGGGUGGCCAUAGGCCUCCCUGUGGCGGAGCCUCCGGUCCGCCUCCUGCCGUGAUCCCCGCUCCGCCCCAUGCUCGGCGCCCCGCACUGCACCUUCACCGCCGCAGCCCGCGAGCGCCCGCCUCCGAGAAGCCUGCAGUCCGCCCCCUCGCCUCCACUGGCUCGGUUACAUCUGGGACGCAUUGCCCCUUAAUUGUCAACCCCAUCGCUGUGAUCAAGUGAACGUUGCUAAUCUCUGCAUUUAUUGUUUAGGUAAAUAGAGGCUGCGUUUAAUCAAUACGCGGGGCCCUAGCCCUCGCAGCGCCAAGUAACUUAAGUCAACGGUGAAGAUUUCAGUGUGUGCGUAAUUAUAGAGCACACGGAAUAUUCACUCCAGCCUAAUCCCACAUCCCACCCGGGGGAGCGAGAGGAGGGAACGUGAGGAAUCUCCACCCUCCGAGGGAUCGAAGGCCGGCUCCCUUCGAGGAAGAAAAGGACUUGGCUGUGACGCCACGCGCCAGGCGCAGGGGCCUAAGACUGGACUGGGGACCGUCCUGACAUCCGAGCGGCUAAAGCCGGCGUUCCGCGCUGUCUUCCCCAGGCUUCUGGCCCUCUCCGCUCCAAAUGUGCAGCGGUGAAAAGGGUGGUCCCCCACCCGCAGGUCCCCACCAGACAGGAAGACUGAGGGCGGGGCCCGGGAAGGAGGGUGGGGCUGUAUUCCCCAAGCCCAGGACUCCGCCAGCGGUCAGGGUCUCUUUCUCUCUUCUCAGCUCUGAGCCGCCGAGCUCCUUGCCCCACGGGAACUCUCGAGAACGCCAAGCUGGAGCGCACAGAGCUCUGGGGUAUUUGCGCAUCUUCUUAAACAGCUAUUGUUUCCUAAUUAAGAAGACCUUAGCCCAACACUAGGUAGAGCUACUGGGAUUCGCCGCAGGGAGUGGGCAGGCCUGGGGAGGUGGGCGGUCCGCACUGGCGGGAGGUGACGUCCGACUCCUAAAGCAGCUUGGCUGCUGGAGUGGCCUUAAGAGCGAGGACCUCUGGGCUCGGCAGGGAAAGGGUUAAUUAGCUGGGACUCAUCCGGGUGGCUUUGGCAAGAACCCAAUCUCUGGCGUCGCGCUAGAGUGGGGCCUAAGAGGUUGCACCUCCAGUUUGAGACACUAACGCUCUCUCCUUGGGCAGUUGGUCGCUAGAGUUUGUUUCUCCUGGUGCCUUUUUCUCCUCUGCAUUCCCGGGAAUGUUCGAUAUAAACAACGAAUAACUUCGGUUGUAAUCAGAUACUCGCCUUGUACGGAAUUGCCCCGCUUUUAAUAAGCUGGAUUCUAAAGUCAACUGAUGAUUUGCAAGUUUAGGGUGUCAGCGCAACCACGGAACUAAAUGACAGCUGAAGCUUGAAUGGGGGCCAUGGUUCUGGAUGGUAGCUGGCUGGUUUUAAUUUUUGGAACUGAACAGCUCUCGUAUAAGGUAUCUCUUUCUAGCUUUCUCUUUCCCAUAAAAAUUGAAUAGCAUUUAGAACAAGAGGAAAAUUAAACACAAAUGUCAGAGCAAUCCUAAAGUGCUUUUUCUAACACUUCUUCCUGAGAAUCCUGUCUGCCAGCCUCAAGCUCCCACCAAGCCUUUGACUCUCCUUAUCAGCUAUGCAGAUCUUUCACUGCCCUGCUGCAAAUCAGCCGGCCAGUCAGUUCACAGGACACAUAGUAUCAGACUUCUUUGAUUGGAGACAACUUAACUUUUUCUAUAUUGUGGCUGAUGUCCAGGGUUUCUGGAUGAGGACAAGCCCUUUGGGACUCUCAGGAGCUGGGUGCAAGUUAAGGUCCACCGCUUAAUGCUGUGACCUUGAGUGGGCUAGGAAGCUUCUCAGUUUCUUGUUCUCUAAAAUGAAGCUAAUAAUUUCAACUUGAAAGGAUUGUUGGUAUAAAUAAAACUGUGUAGGGAAAUUCCUAGCAAAUGCUCAGUACUUAUUAAUAGUUGCCUUCCAUUUGCCACUGAAAUUCCCAACUAAAAUGUUCUGUGAAANNNNNNNNNNNNNNNNNNNNNNNNNNNNNNNNNNNNNNNNNNNNNNNNNNNNNNNNNNNNNNNNNNNNNNNNNNNNNNNNNNNNNNNNNNNNNNNNNNNACUGAAAUUCCCAACUAAAAUGUUCUGUGAAACUAAAGGUAAAAUCAACAGCUACUCUAAUAUAGAAUUUUAGUGCAUAUGGAAACCACAGGGCCUAGUACAGAAUCAGACUGAAGGAGGAUGAAUGCAAGGACAGCCAGCAGCUGCCUGUUUGGGAAGGAGUGAGAUUAGCUGCUUCAUUCAGCAACAUAUCUCAUGGUCUGACUUUC